rnacentral:tRNA from 1 species
GGGCCCGUAGCUCAGCGGUUAGAGCCGCGAACUCAUAAUUCGCUGGUCCCAGGUUCGAAUCCUGGCGGGCCCA